GACGAACGCUGGCGGCGUGCUUAACACAUGCAAGUCGAACGGAAAGGCCCUGCUUUUUGUGGGGGCGCGAGUGGCGAACGGGUGAGUAACACGUGAGUAACCUGCGCUUGACUUUGUGAUAACUUCAGGAAACUCGGGCUAAUACCGGGGAUAAUCUCCUGCUUCAUGGUGGGGGUUGGAAAGUUUCGGCGUUUGGGGAUGGGCUCGUGGCGUAGCAGCUUGUUGGUGUGGUAGUGGCUUAGCAAGGCUUUGACGGGUAGCCGGCCUGAGAGGGUGACAGGCCAAAUUGGGACAGAGAUAUGGCCGAGACUGCUGCGGGAGGUAGUAGUGGGGAAUAUUGAACCAGGGGCGGCAGCGUGAUGUAGCAAAGGCGCGUGUGGGAUGUCGGCCCCUCGGUCGCAAACCGUUUUGGCGUGUGACGAAGUGUUAGUGACGGUAAUGGGUAAAGAAGCACCGGCUAACUACGUG
rnacentral:rRNA from 1 species